AUACAGCAGUGAUUAAAGGUAGGAUAAGACCAACAAAACCUGCCCCUACAGAGCCCAGAGCCCAAAGAGGAGGUCGCUGCUUGCUAUUAAUCAAAGAAUCACCUAACUAGAUGUAAAAUUACAAUAGUGAUAAAGAUUUAUGACAGAGAGGUAUAUGGUGCCAUGAAAUCAGGAUGAAAUUGAGAAACUGGAUGGAGAUUUCAGAUUAGGAUGGGACUUUUUGAUAUGUGUGCAUUCAUGCCUCUGCUGUUACGGAUGGGAACUGCACCCUGCCUAUGGACAUGGCUCCUUGUGAGCAAAAGAAAGAAAUGAUCUAAGUAUGUUCUCCAAAGUUGUGGAAAUCCCUAAGAAAAGGGCCAUACACUUCUUAAAAAUUUACUUAUUCCUUUAUUCAUUCACUGAUGCAUUCAACAAACAUUUAUGGGACACCUUCUAUGUAUCUGGCACUGGCUAAGGGUUCUGGACACACAUUCAGCUCCCUUAGCUCAAAGAACACACAGUCCAGCCAAAAAGGCAGACAUAUGAACAAGCAGCUAUAAUCUAGUGUGGUAAUGAUAUAACACAGAGGUAGGUUCAAUGUGCUUUAUCUGUAGGACUGUAAUCCUGUAAAAGAAGGAAAAUCCAGGUACUGCCUUGAAGGAGAGGCAAAUUUUCAUGGGGAGAAGUGAAGUGGAGUAUGCAAAGAGAAGGAGAUCCAGGCAGAGGACACAGCAUGGGCAAAGGACUGGAGAUGUGCAUAUUCGUGAAGUGCUUGGGAAGUGGCAGGAAACAUGAAGCUGGAGGCAGCUCCUGCUCUUGAGGAGUUCUCAGUCCACUGAACACAACCACUGCAGCCCAAACUGAGAAGCACCAGAAGAGAUGUUGCUGGGGACUUAAGUGAAGGGAGAGGCCACAUCUCACUUGGGUGAACAUGGAAGGCUUUGUAGCAGCCCUGGCAUUGGAGGUUGGACCCAGAAAUGAGGUCCAAAUAAUGUUUGGACAUGCCAUGUUGAGGGCAAGUGAACAAUCGGGCAGCAAGGACUGGGUAGAGAGGUGGGAGCAUGUGGGGCCAGAGGAGCCCAAUUCAGCUGGAGCUGAGGACACAUGAUGUGGGGAAUGAGAGAACAUUGCUAGAAAUCAGCAGAAGCCAGACAGUGGCAGGGCUUAUGCAAACAAUGAUGCCCUUUUGUUUGGCAGGGGUGGUUGAUGCUUCUAAUGCUUGCUUCCUCUCUAUCCUUGCUGAUCUCAAGAGGUGCCCAUCUGGCUGUUUUUGCUGCAUCUCCAGAUGUUCUCUGGGCUCCUGUGGUGAAUUAUCUGCUGACCCAGCAGUAGCCCCUUCCUAAGCACCCCAGGGUGCUUUCAAUGUAAAACAUGCAGUCACAUUUGAACUGGCAAGACCUCGUCUGCCUGGGAAGCCGUAUUCAGACUGAUCAGCAUGGACUCUAUUCUGGGGGCUGAGCCUGCUCAGGGUCACCUGCACAGAAGUGGGUGAGAUGUCCCGGGGCCAUCCACAAUGGCUCCUGACGGCCGCGGGAGGGACACAGAUGCAGGCUAGCAUGUAAUUAGUGCCAAGAACGCAGCUCUCUGAUCACUUUCCCUCAAGAACGUGCCUCUCUGGCUGAGAGGCAGAUAAUGGACAAUCACAGAAGAUCCUUGAUUAUGGCUUGAUUAAGCUUAUGGGAGCUCCAGACGGCUAAUGCAAUUGUGGCUUCCAAACCGUUCAGUGCAGGGCAUUUCCAUAUGGACAGGGAAUUAAAUAAAGCUGUCCUGAACACUUUGCUGAGCUUGUGCCUCCAAUGUCUGGCCGGAUACAAUCUUCCGCUUCAAGUGACCUCGACAGAGACUAUAGGGAGUGGUCAUGACCCAGGAUGAGAAGGCCAGCUUCCUCCUUAAUUACUGUCACAUUUCCCCUUUAGGGCUCCUGACCUGCCUGGCAUUAGCUUUUUGCUCCCUUUCCUGGAGCCAGGGAUCCACUCCCCGCCCCCAGCCCCUAGUCAGCACCACAGCUUCAGCCUCGGCUUUUCCAGAAGCCUUGACUUUCAGUAAGCAAAGGACUGUGCUGAACACGGUUUCCGGUGAGAUGAUUCACACUGGUCUGGUGGAGACAAUCAAGGGAAAAGCAGGGGAUGGCGCAUAAGUCUCAGGUCAGGGUUUCUGGGGGUUGUCCCUGGGCUGCUAAGCCAAUCUUCCCCUUUCUGGACCCCAG
rnacentral:lncRNA from 1 species